rnacentral:lncRNA from 1 species
UACUAUCUUUUAUCUGCUGUUAAGAAGCAUUUGCUACCACUCUUACUAAAAUACUGUUGCCAGUAAACUGGUUAUAUUCAAAGGCACUUAAGGCAGUUAAACCUCACUAGAACUGAAAGGAAAUUAUGAGCUGGAGAUAUCAUAAAGAAUGUGGAAGGGAAAGAUGGCGCUGUAUCAUUCUCAGAUAAAAGGAAUGCAUGGAACUGACUUUCUGGAUUCAAAUGCAUCAGUCUGGAAAGAUUUCGGUGCAAUCUUUGCUGUUGUCAUCAGCUCUAUAAACUGCUAGUGCUUUUUGCCACAAUGUUCC